UAUCUCUGUAGAGUCUGCAUAUCAAUAAGCGGAGGAAAAGAAACUAACAAGGGAUUCCCUUAGUAACGGCGAGUGAAGCGGGAAGAGCUCAAAUUUGAAAUCUUCAAGGUUUUACCUUGACGAAUUGUAGUUUAUAGAAGUGUUUUCUGUAGUGGAGUUCGGUAAAAGUUCUUUGGAAUAGGACAUCAUAGAGGGUGAGAAUCCCGUAUUUGACCGUUAUUCUCUAGCUGUGUGAUACACUUUCAAAGAGUCGGAUUGUUUGGGAAUGCAGUCCAAAAUGGGUGGUAAAUUUCAUCUAAAGCUAAAUAUUGGCGAGAGACCGAUAGCGAACAAGUACCGUGAGGGAAAGAUGAAAAGAACUUUGAAAAGAGAGUUAAACAGUACGUGAAAUUGUCAAAAGGGAAGCGUUUGACACCAGUGUUGUUUUCUCGAAAAUCAAUUAAAAAUGGCUUGAUUUUGUGUUGUAUUGACCUUAAAAGCUUUCUGCACUUUUUUCAUGUCUUUUUUAAUGCACUUUUCGUUUAACAAGUCAACAUCAGUUUCUUUUGUUGUAAAAAGGUCAUUGGAAGGUGGCUUUCUUUUCGGAGAAAGUGUUUAUAGCCUUUGACUCCUGCAAUCGGAGAGACUGAGGUCUGCAGCGUAGAUCCUUCUUGGAUUAGAUUCAUUUGUGCUAAGUUAUAGCUUUUUAUAGACAACUUGUUGACUAUAUUUAGUCUUGUAGCUUACUCGCUUAUGCAAUUUUACCUACGCUUAGGAUGUUGAACGCGCACAGAGUCUC
rnacentral:rRNA from 1 species